rnacentral:lncRNA from 1 species
AUGAUUAGAGAGUGGGGAGAGGGGAGACCUCUGUGAGAUGAGGCCAGAGAUAUCAGGGUGAGGACCCAGGUCGUGGAGAAUCUUGGAGGCCACAGAGAAGAGUUUAGAUUCUAUUGUAAGCACAAUAAAAAAUCAUUUUAAAGAUUUAGGUGGAGGGAUGAAAUGAUCUGGUUUGUGGUUUGUUUGUUUGUUUAGAUCACUUUUGCUGAGGAGAUUGGGCUAAUGGAGAUUUCAGGUGGAAGCUGGCAGACCAGUUAUGAGGCUUCUCCAUUGAUUCAGGUUAGAGAUGAAGCAACACUAAAGAUGGACUGAAGUCGGGGUGAAGAAUGAUUGGACUUGGCGUUGGGUGCAGAAAACGGAUGACACAGGGAUGGCACUUGGACUCCUGGCUCUGAUAACCAGCCACACUGGACAUUCAAAGAUUCCAGCUUUGCUCCAGCCUCCCAGCGUCCACCCCAGCUUCUCUCGGCCUAGAAGACUUCCCCCUGGGAUGUGGAGUCCACUCCGUGACACUGCCCCACCCCCAACUCCUCAGUGACACCUACCCUGUCCACUCUAUUCAGUAUCCUCAGACAUACCGCAUAGUUACUCUUUACAGUGUUUACUGCUUGUCUAUCCCACUGGAAUAUAAGCUCCCCAAGGGUAGAGGUUCUUUAUGAUUAUUUCACUGAUGUAUCCUAAGCAUCCAAUAGAUGCACGAAAAUAUUUGUUAAAUUGAAUCGUUCACAGGUUACCAACUAGCUCCUAAUGGGUUAAGUGGCAUAGAGGUUUGUUUUCCCUUAAAACAACUGCUGUGAAACAGAGAGUGCUUGUGCUGCCCUGAAUGAUGGGGGAAGAGAGGGGGUGGAGAGGGUACAGCAG